rnacentral:rRNA from 1 species
AGGCCGUAACGAGUAGGAAGGUCGUGGCGGUUGCUUUGAAGGCUAUGAGCGUGGGCUCGGCUGGAGCUUCCGUCAGUGCAGAUCGUAAUGGUAGUAGCAAAUAUUCAAGUUCGAUCCUUGAAGACUGAAGUGGAGAAGGGUUCCACGUGAACAGUAGUUGGAUGUGGGUCAGUCGAUCCUAAGGUACUGGCGAACGCCUUGUAUCAUCGGUGGCGAAAAGCUUGCUUUUGGUCCCCGUUUGUCGAAAGGGAAUAGGGUUAAUAUUCCCUAACUGAGAUGCAAAGAUUGUGUUCUUCGGAGCACAAGCGCGGUAACGCAUUCGAACUUGGUUAGUCGCUCAAAGACCGAGCUAGAGUUUUCUUCUCUAGUUAAGGAACGGACUCCCUGGAAUUGGUUCAGCCAGAGAUGGGGACGUUGUUUCCGAAAAGCACCGCGGUUUCUGUGGUGUCUCGUGCUCUUUGAACGGCCCUUAAAACACCAAGGGAGGCUAUUAAUUUGCACUCAAUCGUACCGAUAUCCGCAUUAGGUCUCCAAGGUGAACAGCCUCUAGUCGAUAGAAUAAUGUAGGUAAGGGAAGUCGGCAAACUAGAUCCGUAACUUCGGGAAAAGGAUUGGCUCCAGUGGUUGGAACGAUUGGCCAGUUGGUUGAUGCUUGUCCGGCGCUAUUCUGUCUGCUUGAUGCUUUCGGGCUGAUGGCGGACUAGUGAUAGUGCUUGCUUGUGGACGCUUUCUGGUGUGUGCUAGGACCUCGGUUCUAGUAUCCUGAUCGCUCAUCUAAACAACCGUACUGGAACCGGUACGGACUCAGGGAAUCCGACUGUCUAAUUAAAACAGAGGUGACAGAUGGUCCUUGCGGACGCUGACUGUCACUGAUUUCUGCCCAGUGCUCUGAAUGUUAAAUCGUAGUAAUUCGAGUAAGCGCGGGUAAACGGCGGGAGUAACUAUGACUCUCUUAAGGUAGCCAAAUGCCUCGUCAUUUAAUUGUUGACGCGCAUGAAUGGAUUAACGAGAUUCCUACUGUCCCUAACUACUAUCUAGCGAAACCACAGCCAAGGGAACGGGCUUGGCAAAAAUAGCGGGGAAAGAAGACCCUGUUGAGCUUGACUCUAGUUUGACAUUGUGAAGAGUCAUGAGAGGUGUAGCAUAGGUGGGAGACUUCGGUCGCCGGUGAAAUACCACCACUUUCAUCGACUCUUUACUUAUUCGGUUAAAAGAGAAUUGGCUUCACGGCCUUUUUUCGAAGCAUUAAGCGGAGCCAUUUUAUGGCACCGUGACUCUCCUCGAAGACAGUGUCAAGCGGGGAGUUUGACUGGGGCGGUACAUCUAUCAAAUCGUAACGUAGGUGUCCUAAGGCGAGCUCAGAGAGGACGGAAACCUCUCGUAGAGCAAAAGGGCAAAAGCUUGCUUGAUCUUGACUUUCAGUACGAGUACAGACCGCGAAAGCGUGGCCUAUCGAUCCUUUUAAUCCUGAUUGUUUCAGGUAAGAGGUGUCAGAAAAGUUACCACUUCGCUUCACCAUCUUCUGCAUCGGACUUGUCUUCCUUAU